GCGAGGGUGGCAGAGCCUGGCCAAAUGCGCAGGACUUAAGCAGCGUUGCUGAAGACAUCCUGUCCCUUAGUGGGUUCGUGGGUUCAAAUCCCUCCCCUCGCA
rnacentral:tRNA from 1 species